rnacentral:tRNA from 1 species
GGGGCUUUAGCUCAGUUGGUAGAGCGCUUCCAUGGCAUGGAAGAGGUCAGGGGUUCAAUUCCCCUAAGCUCCACAA